CUUCUCCAAAGAGGCGGGGUCUCAGCCUGGUUCUUCCUUGUUCCUCGUCCUCUGAGGUAGCAACUGCCUCAUCUUUUCCACUUAUGGAGUGUGGAAUAUGUGCCCUACUUCAUUCAGGAAUGUUGGACAAACCGGCUAUUUAGAGAGUGAAGGAGAGGAACUUCCAAGAGCAACCAGCCCUCAAGAGAAACCCAAGGACUCCUGCCCUUCCGUGGCUUUGUCCAUGUGCUGCUCACACCAGAAAGCACUCGGGGGUGACCUGCACCAAAAAUGCAUUGCAGUAGUCUGGGCACGGUGGCUCACGCCUGUAAUCCCAGCUCUUUGGGAGGCCAAGAGAAGUUAGAAUACUUGAAAUUAGCUAAGCGAGAAUACCAUCAGCAGUGCAUCAAUCUCAGCUGCAUCCAGGUGUGUCAGCUGAAUGGCAGAGGGACUAGAAAUUACAUUUCAUGAAGAAAAUUUACAGAACUGAAGAUAUUUAGGCUGCAAAAGAAAAGACUAAGGCACUGUGCUAAGUUUCACUUAUAGAGACCAGUAAGAUUUGGCCACAUCUUCAAGGAGCUCAGACCUUCAUGGACAUACCAAAUAUAUACAGAACUAACUCUACUGCUUAUCACAAUGAGAGCUGUGCCAUGGAUAUUUGAAAGUUAGAGAGAUUUAUUUUCAACAGAAUAAUAAAGUCAACUUUCACAAACUGGUGACAGAUGAUCUGGGCGUUGCAGGCAGGGUAGGACUGACAGACUGAGAAGAGUAUAUGGUUUAAAAUAGAUCAUUAACUGGUAUAAAUAUCUAAACAAGUUCAUGAGAAUAAGAAGAGUCAAACACAAUAAAAUAAUUCAAAGAUAUAUCAGAUAAACCUGGACCUAAAAGUCAUGACUUUUUUUGCAGUUGACUCUCAACAAUUUACAAUAACUCCCUCAAUUAUUGUUUGUCUCAUUUUAACAUUUUAUAAUAACACCUAUGUUUCCACAUUGGUAUGAAGAUUAAAUGAAAACACAUCAAUGUUAGAUAGUCCCUAAGUUUCUGUCGCAGAUAUGAGUCCACCCUCCCCACCAUCAUGUGAUCACACGCAGGUGCACAUGCACAGACGUAUACACGCAUGCGGUUAUGGGAAGAGUAACUGCAAAUAUCAAUACUGUUAUGGUUGUUACUUCAGACAUUGCACAAGUCUAGAUCUCUGGAUCAACACACGUACAUAUGUACGUGUAACAAAUGUAUGGCUAAUAUUGCAUAGGUUUCAUAGCUAUACCUUGAAAUCAAUGUAUUAAAUGGAUGUGUUCUUCACAUGCUGACUCAUCUACUGAGGCCCGAAAGCAACAACGUAAACUGCCCUGGAUAAAACAUUUGGAGACAAGAGAUCUCUAAGCUAAGCUAUAGCUUCAUCAAGCAUGGAGUUCUCUCAUUUCAUAGCUUUACACAGACACAGGCACACACACACAGGCACACGCGUGCGUGCACACACACACACACAGCUCUCAGCUGGAGACCGUCAGGGAAAACAAGUACCAGUGAGACCCGGGGAUCUUCAUCUGAUUUUGUCUUCUGGGUAAGGCUGUGUUAAAAACACUUUGACAGAGGGCUCUUCUCUUGGGGCUCAUCAAAUAUUGCUGGUAGAGGGUUUGCUUGCUUUAAAUAUUCCUUUCCUCAGGUAACGAAGAAUACCAUGUAAUUUGUAAUGAUAACUUGGAUAAUGAAUGCACACUGUAGUCAGCCAUUACCAGUGGUAAUUGGUGUUCCUUUCAUCUCCUGUCAAGCAGAGUGGUUAGGAUUAGGACCAAAAGGCAGCUAUCAUCUCUCUCAUUUCCUGACUCAGACAAAAGGCAAAAAAAAGGUGCCUGCUUGUGCUGAUAGGUGUCUGAUCAAAGCGGCUGAAAGCUGUCAGAAGCCAGCCAGCCUCAGCACCUGACUACUCCUUAAUGCAGCUUUGCCUUUGAUGUACAGGCAGUCCAACUGGGGUUCUAUUUAUGUAAAAAAAAAAUAAUCAGGAUUGUAAUAGAACAGAAGAAAGUGCCAUUUUCUAUUUUGAUGCUAGUUUUGCAGUCUGACACCUAUAGGAAACGUGGACUAAUUCUGUCCAGAGUAUGGUGUGUGUGUGUGUGUGUGUGUGUGUGUGUGUGUGUAACUCACUUAAUAAAAUAUCUUUGAAACUUCAUCAAAUACAUUUGGCAGUGAGCAGAAGUUAGAUUGCUGGUAGAAAGAAAUUAUCCUUCUUGGAAAGUAAAAAAAAUGCUUAAGUAAAAUUGCAGCAGUUUUGACAUGUGCAUUUUAUGUUUCAGAAAUUCUACAGGUUAUAGGUUUAUGAAUGGAGAACCAGUCGUGGAUUUAAAUGAAUUGGAAUUAUUGUAUCUCAGACUUCUAGCUUUCUACCCAUGUGAAUUUAGAUGCAUACUAAUCACAUAUGUGUUUUAAGUUUAUCACUGGCUAUAUAUAUGGUUACUUUCGUAUAUGCCUGUGCAUUGAAUGAAAAUACCUGGCAUGUGGUUGUUAUAAGCAACAGACAGUUCUUGGCCAGAGAUCCACACAGACAAGUGUUAAUAUCACUUAAGCCCUCUGUGUCUCAAGUGCAAAAUUUCUGAAAUGAGUGACUAUAAUGUUUGUUUGAAUUAAAGUAUACAAAGCAUGUGUCUCAGUGUCUAAGACAUUGUAAGACACCAAUAAAUGUCCACUAUUUC